ACGGACGGACGGGCCUGGUUGGGGGGCCUGCAGGGAGGGCCGGGCCGGCCGAGAGCGGCGCCUCCCCCAUCCUGGGUGCAGCUCCGGGCUGUCCGCCGAGGGAGGCGGCGCGCAGACCCGACGCGAGGGCGGGAAAGCGAUGUCCAGAGCGCGUAGCCCGCAGCAGUCGCCCUCCCCUCGGUGUUCCGAGGUUGAACAGCUGGCCUAAAUCCUCCCCCAGCCGCGGCCCACGGAUACGCUUCCCCUUCCAACCGGGUCCCCUCCGCCUGGUCGCCAGUAGGUGGUCACUCCGCACCUGCGGUGCCACCGGGUGAUGCCGCGACCCUGUUUCGUGUCCCGCGUCCUAGGGCUCUUGAUGGGCGCCACGCCUGCCCCUGUGAAAUGCGCUGAUGCUUGCAGGGACCCGAAGGCGCCGGGCACACAGUGAGGGAGGGCGCCAAGGUUUCCUUCUGUGAACCCUCCCAGGGCUGUUAGAGAGCCUCUAGAGGCACGUGGCCCCGAGCUCCGUCUGACUGCUUCAUUGCCUUUACUAAUGCCUCUGACAUCAAGCGGACAUCCCGGAGCCUGGCUCUGCCUCCUGGGAGCUUUCCCGGUUCCCAGAUCCCCAGCCGGUCUCGACAGCAGUCAUCGUGUGAACAGCUGGAUGUGGUUGCAAGAGGUGGUCAAGAAACGAAUAUGAGUAGGAGAAUGAUCUGCCUUCAGAGCAUCCAAGUUCAGCAAGGAGAAUGAAUAACCUCGCUGAUCCACAAAGGACUUAUGACUAACAUUUAUUUUAACCAUAUUUGCCAAAGCAUGUUGGAAUCAUGAACUGACUGUAUUCAAAUAAUAAUGUGUCACGCUGGAAGAAGCUGCGCCAGCAGGCCAGCACCUCUGUGACCCUGUGGCCCAAACAGACUGGACCCGGGCAAGAAGUGACAGACUGCAGCA